rnacentral:rRNA from 1 species
UACGUGGGGGGCAAGCGUUGUUCGGAAUUACUGGGCGUAAAGGGCUCGUAGGCGGCCAACUAAGUCAGACGUGAAAUCCCCAGGCUCAACCUGGGAACUGCGUCUGAUACUGGACGGCUUGAAUUCGGUAGAGGGAUGCAGAAUUCCAGGUGUAGCGGUGAAAUGCGUAGAUAUCGUGAGGAAGACCAGUGGCGAAGGCGGGUCUCUGGACAGUUCCUGACGCUGAGGCGCGAAGGCCAGGGGAGCAAACGGG